rnacentral:tmRNA from 1 species
GGGGGCGUAAAGGUUUCGACGGGGAUCUGGAUACAGUGUAAGCGGGCAGAGUUUGAGGACACUCUUUAAUCAUCCUCGCUUAAAAACAAACGCAGACGAUAACGUCGCUCUGGCAGCCUGAGUCCUGUCCGGCGUAAGCCGGCGGACGGAGGCUGUGCCGCGGACAAUUGUUCCGCCCGUCUCUUCUUUGAGGAUUACGGCUUAGAACGGGGCGUCACACAGUAAUGAACGUGCAUCUCCUGUAUGCUGUUGAAGAGAUCAUGAAGAAAACGGCUACCUGCCUCCCGGGCCUGUCUGUCGGCCAGGGAACCGCGGGGAAAGGAACCGGGAAACCGGUUCGAAAAUGACGGACUGUGCCCGGAGAAAGCGCUGUUGAUGGGUUUUCGGACGAGGGUUCGACUCCCUCCGCCUCCAUAA